GCGGGCGCAGGGCCUCUCCGGGGCCUGAGCGCCGGCGACUGUGGGAAGCAGCUGCCAGGAGGCGGGAGGCCGGCACGCAGGGGCCUGGCCCCCCUUCGCGACGCCUCUUCUCUGGCUCUGCCCCCUCCCUCUGACCUGCCCUGGCUGCCUCACCGUCCCUCCGCCCCAGUCUCCUUCCUCUCUCAGGGGCGCUGGCCCUGUGUGUUUCACUUCCGGUCACUGUUCCGGUCUCCGUCCCUGUGUCCGUGGCCGUCUCCGCUGCUUGUGCCUGUGUGACCCUCUCGUCUCUCUGCGUCUCUCUGCCUUCCGUGCCACCCCCCACAGUCCUGCCCACACGCUUCUUUGCCAGCACCCUGACCCGGCCAUCCGAGUUUUCCAAAGCGGCGUCUCUGCCCAAGGAGGGGUCUGCGCAGAAGGGCAUCUGGGACAGGCACGCACACGGAGAGGCCUGGGGCGGCUCCGGGAGACGGUGAAGGCUGCCGUGUGGCAAGAGGGACAAGGAGGCUGUAAACUCGAUGAACACUCUAUUGUCCCUCCUGCUCUCUGCCGUGUUCCCAGUUCAGUGCCCGGCACAUAGUAGGUCCUCAACAAAUAUUUGUUCAGGGGCUGCUUAGCGCAUCUUCCCGGAGCCCUGGCAGUGCCUGGAAGGGGGGGGGGGGGAGGUGAGUCCUGGGCGGGUUCUUGAAUAUGCGUUGGCGGGACUUUGAGCAGAUCACCGCCGUGAGUGCCAAGAUGAGGGCUGCAUUUGGCCUGCCACAUGUAUCUUCCUGUCCCCGUCUUUCAGGUAGUUGGUGGAGGUGGAGGUGGAGGCGUGACCAAGGGGACUGGAGGUGACGGCUGAGGGAGCAGGCUGGGGCAGGAGCCCCGACUUCACUCUGGUUCCGGGCUCCUGGGGGCGUGCGGUGACGUCCCGGCCUGACCAGCUGAUGCCUGCUGCCCCAGACACACCUGAUCACACCCAGGGGGAGGCCCAGUCCCUGCCGCCCACCUGGGAUGUUGCUGCUCCAGCCCAGGCAGCAGGGAGGAGCCUGUGUGACCCCGAGGCCAUGGCCCCCCGCUGGGGGCCUCCAGUGUGCG